GGAUGUGAGGGUGAUCUGGCUGUGACGUCUGGCACUCCAUUGAUCUCCAGGGUUGAUUCCGAUGAUCUGGCUGGCUAAGCAGGUGUCCCCUUCCUCCCUCAACACUCCACGUGUGUCUCUCCUGAAGCUGCCGCAAUCAGUUGAAGAGGACAACCUUUUCUGAUGGGGAGGACCGGUCUUUGGUCAAGAGUACACGAAUAACUCCCUGUGCUCCCCUGCUAGACCCUCCAAACAAGCUCUCAAAAAAGAGAGGUGGAGGGGGCAAGAUGACUCAGUGGGCAAAGGCACUUGCUACCAAGCUUGAGGACCUGAGU
ensembl:misc_RNA 7SK 7SK RNA